UGCGUGGUCGGGCUGUGCUGGAGGUGCUGUGGGAACUGAGGGCACUGUGCUGUGUGGUUGCUGCGCCUCUGGCAGAAGUGGGCAUGAAAUGGAGAGGGAAAAUGAGCAGAUGGGGGGGUGGACCCUGCUGACAUUGAGCCCCAAAGGCAAAUGGCUGCUAGAGCCAUGCUCUGCUCAGCUGCACUGCUUUAAAAUAAUAUGAAUUAAAAAAUAAAGAAAAUAAAGCAUACGCUGUGCAUGUGACUGAGCCCUGUUUUGUGUAAAAUGACCAGAAAAUAAAAUCCCCAGGAGAGCUUAACUUCAUGCCGGAGGAAAACAGCUGAUGUGGGAGCAGGGAAUGUGUUCAUUCCUUCUGGAAAACAGCUCUGACUCUACAGCUGUAGGAGAGGAGUGCUUUGUACACGAAAAUUGAAAUGAAAGUCUUGGCAUGUAUGAGGGAUGCUUUUCCUGGUUUCUAAUCGUUUCCUAUGGAGCCCUUCAGCUCCCACACACAUGCAUUGAAUUUGACAGUGAUGAAGUUUAUCUAUUUUACCAAUGGAAAUGCAGUUAAGCUCAUGGGAACAAUACAGUUUUUGAAGUGGGAAUUCAGCUUUGCAGGUAACCAACGACUUUCACUUCAUUUUUAUGACAGCAAUAAAGGCAAACCCUAGGCUAAAUUUAAUUCCAAUUAAUUGGAAGCAUUGUUGAGGAUGCGUUGUGGUCAAACGAUAGCGAAUGUUUGAUCUGCAGAUGUGACUGCUGGUCGGGGCUGGGCUGGGAAAGGCAAAUCACAGAAAUCCCUGCACAGCCACCUCCCACAGCACAGACCAGAAGGCUAUUUCGUAAGUAGUGAGGUUGGAGUCUUGCUAAGUAAGGGCUAAAGAAGCCUUUAAUAUGUUUUUAUGGAUUGUUCAGGUGAAUUUUCCCCUGGGCACGGUCCCAAGCCGUGCUCACUGGCAAUGCCCGUAUCCCGGCCCCUCAUCUCUUUGUUUGACAUCUCUCCAAUUUAGGCAGCCAUUUUGUGUUCAGUAAAAAAACACACGAUGAAAUGAGGAGACAUCCAUUGUGGUCCAUCUCCCGGAGAUGCUAUUUUGGGAUUUUAUUUUGUGCUCAUCUUACCCCGGAGCAGCUGUAAUUCUACCUACAGAUGCCUGUGAGUUGAAACCCACCAUGUGAAUGGAUGCAGCCUCACCAUCGGGAUCCCAAAAAUGAAAUGAACAUCACUGGAAGCGAGUGCUGCUCCUACCCACAGCAUUCUGUGUUGUGCCCUCAGUGCUGAUGGCCAGGUCAGGAGAGAGCAACGUGGGGCAGAGCUGUUCUCUCUGUGCCACGGGGCUGCUCUGGGGGCUCAGGGCGCUGUGCUGCAUCAUCUUCUCUCCCUCCCCGCCACCCCACAGCCACCACUGCAUUUCCUUCCCUAUCCUCCCGAAAGUCCCCGAGCUAUUAAGUAGGUCACGAGAGCUGGUCCCCAUCCAGCAGUUUGUCUAAUUGCCUUUUUAUAGUCGCACCGUGCCACUCUUCAUUAUGCUGUCAGUGCUGCGGGAGGACGGGGCGGGGAGUGCCCGGAGCUGGGGACGAUGGCUGCGGUUUCAGACGUGGUUUGCAGUGCUGUUUGAGGAAGCGCACAGCUCACCGAAAGCCGUAGGAAUGAAACGCUUUGAGGUGCGGGGGCCUGGCCCGGGGGAGCAGCUCCUCCUGCCCCGGCUCCGUCUGAAACGAUUUGCGGCUCAAACGCCCCCGCGAGACCCGCUAACCUUUGGUAAAACAAAAAUGCUCGUUGUGACCUCCGAAAAGCAGCGAACCAAACAGGCGCUCCCCCCACCUCCACUUCGGGAACGUCUAUUAUUCUUUCUCUCCUGAACCACAGAACCGCGGUGAUCCCCACGCAGUGCCGCAGCGGUGCUGUUUACCACCGGCCCCGAACCCCAAAUGCCGCCGCUCCCCCCGCGCCGCCCCGCACGGAUCUCCCGUGGCCGUUAUGUGCAGUGCGGGCUGCGCACCUCGGGGACAAUUAAACAAAGAAAACUCGCGGAGGGCUUUUCUGUUCAACAUAUGAAUUCUGUGCAAUAAGUAUGGGCGUUCGGGGGAGCAGAACGGAAAAAUGGGUUUUUGUGAGGAGAAAUGGGAAACGUCUCCGGCAGACGGAGCGGAGCCCGAGGGACGCCCCGGUGCCGCCCGCGGAGCGGUGCGGGGCAGAGCGCAGCCCGGGCGCGGAGCGGGGC
ensembl:lncRNA